rnacentral:rRNA from 1 species
CGGGUUUGACAUAAAGAGGAUCGUCCGUGAAAGCGGAUUUCUCUUCGGAGUCUCUUUACAGGUGCUGCAUGGCUGUCGUCAGCUCGUGCCGUGAGGUGUUCGGUUAAGUCCGGCAACGAGCGCAACCCAUGUGAUUAGUUGCCAGCAGGUCAUGCUGGGCACUCUAGUCAGACUGCCCGUGUCAAGCGGGAGGAAGGCGUGGAUGACGUCAAGUCCGUAUGGCCCUUACAUCCGGGGCUGCACACGUGCUACAAUGGUCGGUACAGUGGGAAGCAAUACCGCGAGGUGGAGCCAAUCCUCAAAGCCGGCCCCAGUUCGGAUCGGAGUCUGCAACUCGACUCCGUGAAGU